rnacentral:rRNA from 1 species
AACUAACGCUGGCGGCGUGCCUAACACAUGCAAGUCGUACGAGAAAGUUGGCUUCGGCCGAUGAGUACAGUGGCGCACGGGUGAGUAACGCGUGGAUAAUCUGCCCUUAAGUGUGGAAUAACGUACCGAAAGGUGCGCUAAUACCGCAUAAUGCCUGGCAACAUAAGUUGUCCGGCCAAAGAAGGCCUCUGCUUGCAAGCUUUCGCUAAAGGAUGAGUCCGCGUACCAUUAGCUAGUUGGUGGGGUAACGGCCUACCAAGGCGAUGAUAGAUAGGCGGCCUUAACGGGUGGUCGCCCACACUGGGAUUGAGAUACGGCCCAGACUCCUACGGGAGGCAGCAGUCGAGAAUAGUCUACAAUGGCCGGAAGGCUGAUAGUGCGACGCCGCGUGAACGGGGAGCCCUUCGGGGUGUAAACUCCUUUUCUCAGGGAAAAAGGAUGAUGGUACCUGAGGAAUAAGCCCCGGCUAACUACGUGCCAGCAGCCGCGGUAAGAGUGUGUGUAC